rnacentral:tRNA from 1 species
GUCGGGAUAGCUCAGCUGSUAGAG